rnacentral:rRNA from 1 species
GACGAACGCUGGCGGCGUGCUUAACACAUGCAAGUCGAACGGAAAGGCCCUGCUUUUGUGGGGUGCUCGAGUGGCGAACGGGUGAGUAACACGUGAGUAACCUGCCCUUGACUUUGGGAUAACUUCAGGAAACUGGGGCUAAUACCGGAUAGGAGCUCCUGCUGCAUGGUGGGGGUUGGAAAGUUUCGGCGGUUGGGGAUGGACUCGCGGCUUAUCAGCUUGUUGGUGGGGUAGUGGCUUACCAAGGCUUUGACGGGUAGCCGGCCUGAGAGGGUGACCGGCGAGAGGGGGACGGCGUGACGGCCAAGUGGCGGCGGUGAGGCAGGGGGGGGGAGGCGGGUACGGGGGGCGGAAGCAGGAUGCGGCAGCGCGGCGUGGGGGAUGGGGGUGUGCGGGUUGGCCGCGGCGUCCUGCGGGGAGGAGGGGUGAGUGACGGUAGUGAGAAAAGAAGCACCGGCGAACGACAUGCCCGCCGCCGCGGUAAGAAAGGGAAGAGCAAGCUGCUGAAC